UACGUAGGGAGCAAGCGUUGUCCGGAAUCAUUGGGCGUAAAGCGCGCGUGGGUGGCCCGGUAAGUCCGCUCUGAAAGUCACAGGCUCAACCUGUGAAAGCGGGUGGAUACUGCCGGGCUAGAGUCCGGAAGAGGCGAGUGGAAUUCCUGGUGUAGCGGUGGAAUGCGCAGAUAUCAGGAGGAACACCAACGGCGAAGGCAGCUCGCUGGGACGGUACUGACACUGAGGCGCGAAAGCGUGGGGAGCGAACGGG
rnacentral:rRNA from 1 species